rfam:Caloramator australicus RC3, WGS project CAKP01000000 data, contig: 130
UCUCUCAUAAGCUUUAGCAAUUCUUGCUUUUCGACUUUUCAAAAGUCCGUAAUUCUGCACAUGGACGUGCAGAGCCGAGUGGCCGACACGGAUGUCGGCUCACGAGGGUAGGACUUUUGAAAACAAAGAAAAGCUUAGAAUUGCUUAGCGAAAUGAGCG